GGUUGAAUGGAGUAGUUGGUUAACUUAGGAGAUUCUGAUCAGGCGAGUUCAGCUCGGCGAUUCGAUUCGACUUCUCUUGCCCUGGGUUCGAAUCCCAGUUCGACCU